rnacentral:lncRNA from 1 species
AAUUUCUCAAGACACAUAGCAAUACAGAGCAGCGAUCUCAAAGCAUGCUGUAAGCCAGUUGUGCGUUGUCAAACACCCUCUAGAAAGCUGAGGAACCCCUGCUACAUGGGGUGCUACCCCAACACCCAGCCCGUAUCCUUCUCUAGUGUGUGUGGAAGAGGGGCUGUUGGCGAGUGGAUGGUCCAGGGUAGCCGCAACCAACCUUGGUCCUUUUUGUGGAGAAUUUACCAUCUUGGACACCUGCCUGGUCUAUCAAGAUCCUGGAAUACUGCAGCAGGGCAGAGUGCACACCCGGUGAGACCCAGAGCUCCUCUGUGGGACCGACACACUUCUAAAGGCGCAGAUGCCCCUCAGUGCCAACUCAAGGCAUAGGAGUGGCAGCAGCAGCUCACUGCUCUCAGGGGAGUUUGCCUAAGCACUGUCCCCUGAGAUUUCUCUCCUGGAGGCAUUGUGGUGUGGGGCUCAAAAGUAGGUGGUGAAAUUCAGAAGAAAAAUCCAGAAGGAAGGAGACCUGUAGGCAACCAGCAGCCCAUGCUUAUGCUAAUGAGAUUGCUAGCCAUGGCCAAGCUUUGAAGGCAUUCGAUGUCCCCUGGAAUAUCCUUGCAGGCAAGGCUUUGAGCCCAGCCUCGGUCUGUCUGUGUCUGGAGUUGAGGUGGGGCGUGUGGCUCCCCGGCAGCCAGUGGGCCGCGCCAGGCCUUGCUGUCAUGAGGAAAGAAUCUGCAGGUCUGUAAACUCGCUAUUUUUAGGCCUUGGUGCGGCUGAGCCAGUUCCCUAGUGUAGUAGGGCCCUCAUAUUUUACUGAAUAGAACCUUGAAAAGU